UACGUAGGGUGCGAGCGUUGUCCGGAAUUAUUGGGCGUAAAGGGCUCGUAGGGGGUUUGUCGCGUCGGGUGUGAAAACUCAGGGCUUAACCCUGAGCCUGCUUCCGAUACGGGCAGACUAGAGGUAUGCAGGGGAGAACGGAAUUCCUGGUGUAGCGGUGAAAUGCGCAGAUAUCAGGAGGAACACCGGUGGCGAAGGCGGUUCUCUGGGCAUUACCUGACGCUGAGGAGCGAAAGUGUGGGGAGCGAACAGG
rnacentral:rRNA from 1 species